GGGACUACACAAUGUUGCAUGGGAAGAUCAACUCACCAGGCAUGUUCAAGGAGACUGAAGAUCAACUCACCAGGUAUGUUCAAGGGGACUGAAGAUCAACUCACCAGGUAUGUUCAAGGGGACUGAAGAUCAACUCAUCAGGUAUGUUCAAGGGGACUGAAGAUCAACUCACCAGGUAUGUUCAAGGGAACUGAAGAUCAACUUACCAGGUAUGUUCAAGGGACUACACAAUGUUGCAUGGGAAGAUCAACUCACCAGGCAUGUUCAAGGAGACUGAAGAUCAACUCACCAGGUAUGUUCAAGGGGACUGAAGAUCAACUCACCAGGUAUGUUCAAGGG